rfam:Triticum aestivum genome assembly, contig: Triticum_aestivum_CS42_TGACv1_scaffold_239837_3B
CAUGUACUCCCUCCGUCCCAAAAUUCUUGUCUUAGAUUUGUCUAAAUACGAAUGUAUCAAGUCACGUUUUAGUAUUAGGUUCAUCCUUAUCUAGACAAAUGUAAGACAAGAAUUUUUAGGCAUCGGGUUGUGUUUG